UACGUAGGUGGCGAGCGUUGUUCGGAUUCAUUGGGCGUAAAGGGUGCGUAGGUGGCGCUGUAAGUCGGGUGUGAAAUUUCGGAGCUUAACUCCGAAACUGCAUUCGAUACUGCGGUGCUUGAGGACUGGAGAGGAGACUGGAAUUUACGGUGUAGCGGUGAAAUGCGUAGAUAUCGUAAGGAAGACCAGUGGCGAAGGCGGGUCUCUGGACAGUUCCUGACGCUGAGGCACGAAGGUCAGGGGAGCAAACGGG
rnacentral:rRNA from 1 species